rnacentral:rRNA from 1 species
CACCGCCACGGUAAUACAGAGGGUGCGAGCGUUAAUCGGGUUUACUGGGCGUAAAGCGUGCGUAGGCGGCUUCUUAAGUCGGAUGUGAAAUCCCUGAGCUUAACUUAGGAAUUGCAUUCGAUACUGGGAAGCUAGAGUAUGGGAGAGGAUGGUAGAAUUCCAGGUGUAGCGGUGAAAUGCGUAGAGAUCUGGAGGAAUACCGAUGGCGAAGGCAGCCAUCUGGCCUAAUACUGACGCUGAGGUACGAAAGCAUGGGGAGCAAACAGGAUUAGAUACCCCUGUAGUCCCUGUCUCUUAUACA